AAGAUAGUGAUAUUAAGCAAAACCCAAAAAAGACAGUCUCAGUUCGGAUUGAAGGCUGAAAUUCGCCUUCAUGAAGCCGGAAUUGCUAGUAAUGGCAGGUCAGCAUACUGCCGUGAAUACGUUCCCGGGCCUUGUACACACCGCCCGUCACACCAUGGGAGUCGGUAACACCCGAAGCCGAUAGUCUAACGAAGGAGGACGUCGUCGAAGGUGGGAUUGAUGACUGGGGUGAAGUCGUAACAAGGUAUC
rnacentral:rRNA from 1 species